CAAAAAAAAAAAAAAAAAAAUCCAGAACCUUCAAAUUCAUCAGCACUGGUGAUGGUGCACCUAUUUUCAGUCUACUCAAAUGAUUGUAAAUCUUCUUAGCAAUUAUAUCAAUGAAAGAUGCAACUAUCUGGUAGGUGUACCAAGCAAAUAUGCCCGAUUUACUGCACCUGUUCAUAACAGUGAGAUUAUAUGAGAAAUGGCAGUAUUUGAUGGCAAAAUAUCACCAUGGAAACAUGCAUAUUCUUGGUUCCAGCAAAACUUGGUUUUUCUUACACUGACAACAAGAAGUAGGAAUUUCAUGUAUGUGAAAUCAUUCAGGCAUAAAAUAAAAGUACAGGCCUAAUAUCCUUUUGAAGGGACAUGUGCUUGAGAAGUGGAAGCAGGACAUCCAAAUGGCAAAAGCUACACAAGCCAGUUCACAGAAACAAACAGCAACGAGGUAGAACAAAA
rnacentral:misc_RNA from 1 species